AUUUUGGAUCUAUGAUUUUUGAGGUGUGAGUUUUAAAGAGGGAGAAGCGAUUGAUGAUGCAAUUUGACAUGUAUAUUCACCAGAUAUGAGAUUUAGUUGGGUAUUCAUGUUGUUCAGAAGGUUAAUCUUAUUCGUAUCACUAUGGAUUGGGAGGUGUUAUUUCAUAGAAACACAAGUUCUAUGGGUCAUAUUUUCGUUCAGCUUCAGCAAAAAGAAAAAGAAAGGAAGGCUUUAAAGCUACUUGCAGUGAUAUGAAACAAGGAUCCAGAGUGUUUCUUCUUCUUUCCACAGGAUCUGGCAGAAGUGAAAUCCUUUUUCAACUUAACAGUCUCAAGAAUUAGCGUCCAUCAGUUGUAGUGAAGGUUUUCAAAAGAAACUUUGGACAAUAAUUAUGAUGACCUAUCCUCUCAAGAUGCAUUUGAAUAUGACAGUAUAGAUUAUAUUGGUUAUAACAGUGACGAAGACACAUAUUCUUUUGCAUCACUGUACAAUGAAGGAGAUGGUGCGUGAACUCAACUCUAUGCAAUAUGGAAGACUUGAUUAUCCCUGUGUGCGAUUCUUCUUCACUUUUUUUCCCACAGUUGUUUUUCUUUGUAUUAGUUCUUUUUUGUCACUCUUAUUUUGCAUUCUUCAUAUGUAUUGUUACCGGUUCAUCAGAUAUUGAAGAGAACAAGAUUGAUGGCAUUUUGAAAGGACUGUGUCUGCUGUAUAGCAUAAUUCGGCUCAGGAAAAUUUUACUCAAUUUAAAAACUAUUUGGUUUGCUUGCAUUUGGAAUAUAUAGAUAGGUCGGAACGAUGAGCUGUUCUGUAGCGGUUAGAGUUGUGCCUAUGUGUCUUUCAAAGUGGAAAUCGUAGCGGUUUGAUUGUUAGAUGUUUCUUUGGUGUUGUGUAAGUAGCUGGGAUUUAAUUGAUUUUGGUGCCGGUGAGGUUUUGAUAAUUUGUUACAGGGCUGAUUGGUGGGUUCAAAGUUGGGAGAACUUAGAAUUCUAUUCUGGUUGGCUCACAUGCAUUAUUGUAAUUUCAGAAA